GCGCCAGUCAUCCGAUAGACUGAGUCGCCCGGGUACCCGUGUUCCCAAUAAAGCCUUUUGCUGUUGCAUCCGAAUCGUGGCCUCGCUGAUCCUUGGGAGGGUCUCCUCAGAGUGAUUGACUACCCAGCUUGGGGGUCUUUCACAAGCAGUGCCUGGCUGCUGGGAGCUGUUGCUGUAGGGAAUGAAAGGUGAUGAAGUCUCGAUCACUAGACGGGAGAUGCUGCCAAGUGCCCCAGACGGGAUCAAGACUCCAAUGACAACCAUAAGAUUCCCUAAAGCUAAGACACUGCAGAUCUUGACUCUGCUGAUUUCUAUAGGUGUGGUCCAAACUAGUCCUAUGCCCCAUGAACCCCAUAACCUUACUUGGGUUAUAACUAACACUGCUACGGGGACUGUAAUUAACUCGACCUCCCACCUCGCCCCCAUUGGAACUUGGUUUCCUGAUCUUGUUUUUGAUUUGUGUGCACUAGCGGAUGGGACCUGGGAUCCCCUGGGCCUUGUAUGGGGGUGUCAACAUCCAGCUCAACACAGUGAACUUCGGAGAACCCCCUUCUAUGUCUGCCCUGGAGAGGGGAGGUCUCCACAGCAGACGGCUACCUGUGGAGGACCAGAGUCAUACUUCUGUGCAUAUUGGGGUUGUGAGUCGACUGGGUCCAUCUCCUGGACGCCACCGAUAAAAGAUGACCUCAUCAAGGUCCAAAGGAGCCCUGGAUCGGAAUCCCAAGGAUGGGGGUAUGGAUUGCAGCCCAAGCUGGAUGCAAAUGAUCUUGGUGGGCCAUGUUCCUCCAACUGUAACCCCAUUACAGUUCAGUUCACCCCCAAGGGAAAAGAAAGCGUAGGAUGGGAAAAGGGAAAGACAUGGGGACUAAGACUGUAUGUGUCUGGAUAUGACUAUGGAGUAAUGUUUACGAUCCAACUCUCUGCCCGACAGGGCAUGCCUUUAGGCCCCAAUCCAGCCCUGCCCCCUGUUGGACUCACGGUGACUCAAUCACAAAUCACAGUCCCCAUUUCUCAGGAACUUAGACCCAGGUCUGGGCCAUGGGACUUGCUUAAGGCCACUUACCUGGUAUUGAAUAAUUCUAAACCAGAGCUUACAAGUAAAUGUUGGCUCUGCUUGGAUGCCCAGCCACCCUAUUAUGAAGGAAUAGCCGUUCCUGGAAAUUAUACCACCUCUACUGACAACAAGGACUGUCGUUGGCAGUAUCCAGCUUGCCCCUAGAAUUCUUCGUUACUCUGAUGAGAUGGGGACCAGACUAUCUCCAUUCCCAGCUGCUCGAGCGAAGCGGGCUACUGUUGCCGAGAUCCUGGGUGCAUCAGCCUUCGACUUCCAAGAUGAGAAUUAUAAAGUGUUAAGCUCUGCCAUAGAUGCAGAUUUAAUGGAACUAGGGAAAUCCUUAUCCAAGUCCAAAACCUCAUUAACUUCUCUAAGGGAGGCCACCCUUCGAAAUCAGCGGGAACAAGACUUCCAAUCUCUGCAACAGGAUGGACUGUGUAAACCUCUGGAGAAAAGGUGCUGCACCUUUGUGGAUAACUUAAAGCAUGCGAGGGAGUUAUUGGCUAAGGUGAGGAAACGUCUAGAAGACAGGAAAAGGGAAAUGGAACAGGGUCAGCCUGUUUGGAUUACAGUUAUUGCAACUCUGUCUGGAUUCUUGGGCCUGGUCAUACUCAUUGUGAUAUGCAAGCUCUAUGUUGUUAACCCCCUGAUGGAUUCAUCAAGGACCAGGUCUCCACCAUCCGACACGUAUUAAAAUGCUAACCCUUGGAUUCUGCUCAAGGGUUUGAGAUGGACUCUUAAGGUGAGAGAGAGUGAUCCUAACUUACUCCAUUUUAAGACAGGCUGCUAGGUCAGGCCUUAAGUUUAGUCUCAGAAAAGCCAUAAAGAAUGGGCAGCCAAGCCAGGCGUGGUGGCACACACUUUUAAUCCCAGCACUUGGGAGGCAGAGGCAGACGGAUUUCUGAGUUCGAGGCCAGCCUGGUCUACAGUGAGUUCCAGGACAGCCAAGGCUACACAGAGAAACCCUGUCUCGGAAAAAAAAAAGAAUGGGCUGCCAAUCCACAGCCACCCUGACAACGGGGGGUGGGGGUGGGGUAGCUAAAGCCAAUUUGAAGAAAGCCCCUAUGAAAGGGCGCUUUUUCCUUCAAGGUACAGACCAGUCCAAAAUGUACAGACACCCCUCACUAUGAACACAAACAAUCCUGGUGUAAAUUACCUAACUACAGUUGGAAAUCUAACUGGCUUUAAAAGGAAAAGAGAGCCUGCCGUCUCUUUGUGGUUGCCAUUUUAUAUAGAUGAUAUAUAUUGAGCUUUGGUCUGUUAUGCUUUGGAAUGCUUAGUGCAAGCCCUGGUUGCCCCAGAGACCCAAGUGAUGUUAUGUGACCUUGACCCUAAGUUACUUCUGGUUGGUGAAUAAAGAUGCCUGCAGUCGAUAGCUGGGCAGGAGAGACCAGGGUGGGGUUUAGGGUUCCUGAGCUUGGGGUUGUAAGAGAAGCACCAGGAGGGCGAGAAGGUGAAGGGAGGAGGAAGCGGGCGUGGAUUGGGUGAGUUGUGGAAUGAUGGCUAUGUGGGUUGGCUAAUUGGAGUUAAGAGCAGCCCAGAUGGAAACAUGAGGAAUUAGAUGAUGGCUUACUGGCUGGGGAGUAGGCAUACUAGUGUAGAGGAUAGAUAUCUGCCCAGCUCUUGUGCUGAUUAAGGCUUGUUAUAAAUAAAAA
rnacentral:lncRNA from 1 species